rnacentral:lncRNA from 1 species
AAUCCACCUUCUAAAACAUUAAUAUCUACGGAAACCAACUCAAGGAGAAGCAAGUUUGUUCUUCAAUUUGUCGUAUGGUUUUGUUUCUUAAGGCCUGCAAAUAAUUUGUACGGCACUGGUGCAAAUGUUUAGCACGCCGUCGUCCAUGAAAAUCUUGUUGCUGAGGUAAUUUUUGCUCACCAUUCUUAUUCAUGUGCAACUUUUUUACCUCCCUAUUCAUAUCUCUGAUGUGUCUUUGUAUCCUUUCAUUAUUUUGUUCAAUCUUAUUCCAUAUAUUUUGACUUUAUAGUUGCAGGGGUGUUGAUGUUGCAACAACAAAAUAUGUAAUAAUGAGGUUCAACCGACGAUUGAGGAAAAAGGUUGGUGACUAUCUCACGGUGGUGGGAGGGAUUUUGUUAUGGUAUGAUGAUAUCUUUGUAUUGUUAUGUAUUGAUUUUUUGAAGUUUAAAUUUGUUGAAAAUUGAAACGAUGUGUGCUGA